CGCUGCUGGAAAGUUCCAGUGGACGUUAGGGGAUCGACGUCAGCGUUACCCAAUGGCGAUCGGGCAGCCCCGGUCGGGGCGGGGUUCGCCGCGGCGGGGUGGGCUGGGUCGCGCGCCCCUUCCUCCUCCUCCCCCGGUUCCGUCUCCCCCUGAGGGGCGCGGGGGUUGAGGCGGGAGGGGGAGCGGGGCCGCUCAAGUGUUUGUGAUUCCUGAAAGUUCAGCCCGGCGCUGCGUGUCAACCCGCAGCCGGCCGCCAGCUGCCGGGGAAUUUACCCUUAUUUGGUCGCAAGGCGGCAGAAAUUCAACUCUCACACACACAAACCCCCGUUCCCGCCCCCUCUCCUUCCAGCCUCCCCCAGUCUCGUCACGGCGAACCCGCCGCCGCGACCCCCGUGAGGCAAAACCCUCCGCAGCGGGGGCGACUUCGCCCCGCCCCGCUAGGGCAGAGGGGGAGUUCCGCGCCCGCGAAGGCCGUUUUUAGCCUUAUUUCGGCUGAAGGUGGCGGGCUGACAGCCCCCCUCGCCCGGCCGCCCUCAGCAGCCGCCCCGAGCGCCGGGAACCCGCGGUGAGGGAGCCCGGCCCGGGUGGGAAGGCAGGGAACGGCGCCCGGCGUUCCCCUCUCAAAGUCGGGGUUUGGGGAGCUCUGGUGCCGCCUGUUUUCUGCCCGGUGACCAUUCUUGAAACGCCUCCAAAAUUUUUCUCUGUUGUGCUAAUGUAAAAUGUCGUCACGCCUAAAUUUAGCGAAAGCUACGAAGCUAUUGACUCGGAGCUAGGCAAGCGCUUUGAUGGAAAUAUAUUAAACAUGAAAAUCUGCUGCGGUUCCUCCAAAUUAUUCCUCCUUACUUUGAGACAAAUACUUCAAAGUACUCCAGUUGUAGUGAGGACAGCAAAAUACUCAGAUUUUUUUUCCCUUGGAGGCUUAGCGAGUAGCUCCUUUUCGAUAGCUACUUCAAAAGUGUGGCUGAAAGUCUGCUACCCCUAGACCAUCCGUGUUAUGUGAGAGAGGGAUUUAAACCACUGUGUAUUUAAAUCAUCUUUCAUUAGCUUUGUCUCCAGCCUUCAGCAUUGUGCUACAGCAGCCCUCACAGAAAAUGUGUUACAGCUUUUCCCAGGCUGAUUUGUGUUCAUGCUGUUAUUACAGAUACUCUUAACUCCCAUUCGAAACCUCCCUUGUUUCAAUUAGUAUAUUUUCCAAAGCCUUUUUACAGGACAUGAGGAUUCCACCCCUUUUGUGUGGUAUGUGUGCCUGUAGUUUUGAGAUGGAAGAGCUUCAAUUUCUGAUGAUAAAUAUUGUACAUGCUUAAAUAACUAUUAUUCUUUUACAGAUCCUGGUACUUUUUCACAUGGGCUCUGACUUUGGAGAAAUCGGAAAGAAGUCAAUGGAGAAUGGAAACCGUCAGCUCUCCCCGCUGCCACCAGGAGCUGUUCUGUAUAUGCCCAGGUGAAUGGGAAACACGCAGGAGCAGAUGAAGCAAGUAAUAACUGGAACUUCACCCUGUUGGUGGGACUGGCAUUAAUUCAGGUAUAAAAUGGAAUUAAAUGAGAAUAAUAAGCAGAUUUGUAAGAAUAUUUUAUUAAAGAUACUGUAUCAAAGCACAGAAUAAGCUUUAAAGAUGAUGAAAACUAACCUGGAAUGUCUUCACUUAUAACUCUACAUAAGCUACAAAUAAUUGCUAACUUACAGAACAGUGACAGCCUGUUCUACAUGUCCUACGCUCAAGUAUACUGUUGAAGGCUUAAAGAUAGGUGAUGCUAUAAACAUAUUUCCCUUCUCUCCUCUGCUUCGUGCCAGUCCUACCUGUUCUCUACAGAAAACACAUCCCAUUUUCUAUUAGAUUUCCCAGCUAUAUUGUACCUUCUCCCUGAGAAGUCCCCAGCGGUAUUUGGCUUUGUCCAGAUAUUCCCUCUCUUCCCCUUUGCUCCAGCACAGCCACUGGGACAGAAGCGCUGGCAUUCUGGUGUUGCACAGAAGGCUUUUAGAAUGCCUAUAUGUGUUAAUAGAGCUGGUACCUUCAACAUCUAUAUGCUGAAAUGUUUGGAGCUAUGUAAUUAGAUUAAGCAACCACAUUCAAAGAUACCUGAACAUCUUUUCUUGCAUUUGUUUAGCAACUUUAUAAACUCAAAAAAUGAGUAAAGCAAGCACAGACACAUGCCCUAUACAAGCUGCAAUACAGACAAUACUUUACACACUUCAUAACAACAGUAAUGAAAAUUAUGCCAAUUAUAAGUAAAAUUAUAGACAGAGUCUUCUUGAGAUAACAGUUAUACUGAACAAUGAAACAUCCUUUUAUCGUCAUGAGUAGAAUUAGUAAGAUGCAUAACUAGAGCAGAAUAUAGAUCAGCAUUUUUAGUCUGCUUACAUGUCUCAAUCUAAGCAACUGUUGUCUGGGAGAAGCAAAAGAAAUCAAUAUUGUUUUAACCUAUGCUGGUCCUAUUUUGAAACAUUUACUGCUUUGUUUGUUUGUUUCUGGGUUUUUUGUUGUGUUUGUUUGUUUGGUUUUGGGUUUUUGUGGGGGUUUUUUUGUGUUUUUGUUUGUUUUUCAUUAGGGUCUUUUCCCCAUUAUUUCAGCUGGAAACUUUAGGAUUCCUAAAAUGCUCAAAUCUGAACAUGAAUGCCUGAUUCUCCUCUUCAAGCCAGCUUUUGCAAGGCUUAGAUCCAGAACAAGGUGCACGCUGUGCCCUGUGAAGAUUAGUUCGCAUUUACUCAUCUCCUUGUUGGUCAAAAUUUUUCACCAUUCUUGUAAUAAAACCAGAGCACCAUUUCCUUACUCGCCACAUACAAGCACUGUGCUCCAUGGAAGGUCCUCUUCAGUUUGCAAAUGAUGAUCAUGGCAGCAGAGGGAAUACCAGGUCAGCUGGAUCUUUCUCACCUCCUGUCCUUCCUCAGGGACCCUCUGUCCUCAGUUUUUAUAAGAUUUUUUUUCACCUUGUACUCUUUUUUUAUUUAUUUUUUUUUCUUAAGCUCUUCAUAGUUUAGCAUUGUAACUGUCUGAAAAUACAUGGGUUUAGUUCAUGAGUACACACUU